GUUUACCACAGUGUAGAGUUCUUCAGUUUCCAGGAUCGGAGGUGGUGUGUGUGUGGUUGAUGUUUUUAGAGUGAGGCAAUGGCUUAGCCCCGUGGGAGCAGAUUGCAUGAGACAAGCACCCAGAAUGAGGGAGAUAAUGCCAGCCAAUCUGUCAGAUUUCAUCAUCUGCUGGUCCUGGGCUGAGCGGCACACCUCCAGGGGGCACCAUCCGCACUGUAGUAUCUGAACAGUGCCCAGCCUACACAGCUCUACAGCACAGAUGCCACUGAGGGCUGAGUGUUGGCAGGAGUAUUGGCUUUGGAGCAAAGCGGUGAGUUUAAAUUCUGACUCUUGCCACUUGCAAGCUGUGUAACAGGCACAAAGGAACUGCUGCUGUGCCUGUUUUCUCUUUUGCAAAACGGGGGUAAUAAUAGUACCUCUUUCACUGAAUUGUGAGGGUUAAAUAGUUUAAAGUGGAAAAGCUUCUGAAAUAGUGUUUGGCAUAUAGUAAGCACUCCAAACCGUUAGCUAAUAUUAUUUGCUUGGUGCUUUCUAUACCAUAUGUAAUUCCUACUUUCUGAGAGUUGCUUGGUAUUUGCUGUCCAGUUAUUACUCUUCAUUUGGCUACAAAGAGAAAGAAUAGUGGUGGAAAUGUGCUAGUAAUCUAGUAGUCAUGCUUGUUUUAGGUGUAAUUGUGCUCCUGAAUUCCAAAAUUACCCGUAACUUCCAUAACAGUUCUUUGCUUUACUGUGUUCUAUUUGGCAGAAUGUGAUGAAAUUCACAGGAGGAUGCAAAUUAAUUUGAU
rnacentral:lncRNA from 1 species